AUUGAACGCUGGCGGCAUGCCUUACACAUGCAAGUCGAACGGUAACAGGUCUUCGGAUGCUGACGAGUGGCGAACGGGUGAGUAGUACAUCGGAACGUGCCCGAUUGUGGGGGAUAACGAAGCGAAAGCUUUGCUAAUACCGCAUACGAUCUACGGAUGAAAGCAGGGGACCGCAAGGCCUUGCGCGAACGGAGCGGCCGAUGGCAGAUUAGGUAGUUGGUGGGAUAAAAGCUUACCAAGCCGACGAUCCGUAGCUGGUCUGAGAGGACGACCAGACACACUGGGACUGAGACACGGCCCAGACUCCUACGGGAGGCAGCAGUGGGGAAUUUUGGACAAUGGGCGAAAGCCUGAUCCAGCCAUGCCGCGUGCAGGAUGAAGGCCUUCGGGUUGUAAACUGCUUUUGUACGGAACGAAAAGACUCUGGUUAAUACCUGGGGUCCAUGACGGUACCGUAAGAAUAAGCACCGGCUAACUACGUGCCAGCCGCCGCCGUAAUAC
rnacentral:rRNA from 1 species